GAUGAAGAACGUAGCGAAAUGCGAUAAGUAAUGUGAAUUGCAGAAUUCAGUGAAUCAUCGAAUCUUUGAACGCACCUUGCACCCUUUGGCAUUCCGAAGGGUAUGCUCGUUUGAGUGUCAUUGUACUCUCACACUCUCCGAUCCUAUGGAUUCGGGGAGCGGUGGACUUGGUUGUUGCUGCCUUUCCCUGUGGCUCACCUCAAAUGCGUCAGUGCACCUCUUGGUUGGACAUAGUACGGCGUGAUAAGUGUCUUCGCCGGCACCUCGCAAGAGGGUGGCCGAUCGGGAGCUCUGCGCUUUCAAACCGUCUUCGGACAAUUUCUGACAUCUUGACCUCAAAUCGAGUAGGACUACCCGCUGAACUUAAGCAUAUCAAUAAGCGGAGGA
rnacentral:misc_RNA from 1 species